GACGUAGGGUGCGAGCGUUGUCCGGAAUUACUGGGCGUAAAGAGCUCGUAGGUGGUUUGUCGCGUUGUCCGUGAAAACUCACAGCUCAACUGUGGGCGUGCGGGCGAUACGGGCAGACUGGAGUACUGCAGGGGAGACUGGAAUUCCUGGGUGUAGCGGUGAAUGCGCAGAGUAUCAGGAGGAACACCGGUGGCGAAGGCGGGUCUCUGGGCAGUGAACUGACGCUGAGGAGCG
rnacentral:rRNA from 1 species